UCCAGACUCCUACGGGAGGCAGCAGUGGGGAAUAUUGCACAAUGGGGGAAACCCUGAUGCAGCGACGCCGCGUGAGUGAAGAAGUAUUUCGGUAUGUAAAGCUCUAUCAGCAGGGAAGAAAUAGCGACCUUUGGGUCGCCAGACGGUACCUGACUAAGAAGCCCCGGCUAACUACGUGCCAGCAGCCGCGGUAAUACGUAGGGGGCAAGCGUUAUCCGGAUUUACUGGGUUUAAAGGGUGCGCAGGCGGAAGAUCAAGUCAGCGGUGAAAUUGAGAGGCUCAACCUCUUCGAGCCGUUGAAACUGGUUUUCUUGAGUGAGCGAGAAGUAUGCGGAAUGCGUGGUGUAGCGGUGAAAUGCAUAGAUAUCACGCAGAACUCCGAUUGCGAAGGCAGCAUACCGGCGCUCAACUGACGCUCAUGCACGAAAGUGUGGGUAUCGAACAGGAUUAGAUACCCCAGUA
rnacentral:rRNA from 1 species